GUUUGGGCUCGACUGCAGUGAAGAUCAUAUUGGAUUGAAUAAGUUGACUUCGAUCAUUGGCUUCAAUGAAAAUGGCGGACAAAAUCAUCCCAAAUGUGUUUCUUCUCAACCUGAUUGUGGCCUUUAUAUGUGUUACAGCUCAGAUGACCACCCAGUGCCCUGGGGGAGUGGCUCUUCUGGGAUCACAUCACACAAUAGUCGCUGACAGAAGCAACUACACAGGAUUUGCAUGGGUUCGACCAAAAGGUGACAGGUACAUUGUCACCUGCAACCCCAGCUGCAGCCCUAUUGCUGGAUACAAUGCAACCACGAACGUCACACAAUCCACACUUAUCAUAGACAGUGUCGGGAUGGAUGAUAUUGGAACCUGGAGAUUAGUGGACGCAAACGUGUUGGGUGCCAUCCCAGAGGACGUGUGCCAGUUGACAGCAGCUGGUGAGUAUAUAGA